GCCUACGGCCAUACCACCCUGAAAGCGCCCGAUCUCGUCUGAUCUCGGAAGCUAAGCAGGGACGGACCUUGUUAGUACCUGGAUGGGAGACCGCCUGGGAAUACCAGGUGUUGUUGGCU
rnacentral:rRNA from 1 species